rfam:Salmo salar isolate Sally breed double haploid chromosome ssa06, whole genome shotgun sequence.
UGGCUCAGUUGGUAGAGCAUGGCGUUUGCAACGCCAGAGUUGUGGGUUUGAUUCCCAU